AUCCAAUGGCGACCUUUACUUUGACCUUGACCUUCAAUGUCAUGCCAAGGUCACGCGUUCUUAUUCGAGCGGGAACCCAUGUUUCUAACUGCAACAAUGAAUAGAAUGGACGUUUGAAUAUGACCUUGAAAAUCAUGGUCAAGGUUGUUAGGUUAAUGGGUUAUAGAUUCCAAAGUUAUGUAAUAGAAGUUUGAGAUUUUUCCACGGUUUAACGAUACCGGCUUUGAAUUUGAUCUUGAUCAUGACAUUCUUGAUCGUAUCAAGGUCAUGAAUUUUUAUUCAAAAGGGGCCAUAUA